rnacentral:rRNA from 1 species
CCUACGGGUGGCAGCAGUGGGGAAUAUUGCACAAUGGGGGAAACCCUGAUGCAGCGACGCCGCGUGAGUGAAGAAGUAUUUCGGUACGUAAAGCUCUAUCAGCAGGGAAGAAAAUGACGGUACCUGACUAAGAAGCCCCGGCUAACUACGUGCCAGCAGCCGCGGUAAUACGUAGGGGGCAAGCGUUAUCCGGAGUUACUGGGUGUAAAGGGAGCGUAGACGGCAGCGCAAGUCUGGAGUGAAAGCCCAUGGCUUAACCAUGGAACUGCGUUGGAAACUGUGCAGCUAGAGUGCAGGAGAGGUAAGCGGAAUUCCUAGUGUAGCGGUGAAAUGCGUAGAUAUUAGGAGGAACACCAGUGGCGAAGGCGGCUUACUGGACUGUAACUGACGUUGAGGCUCGAAAGCGUGGGGAGCAAACAGGAUUAGAUACCCCUGUAGUC